rnacentral:lncRNA from 10 species
UUACAGGCGUGAGCCACCGCGCCCGGCCGCUGCUUUAAGUUCUUAACACGUCCUCACCGCGGCUCAGCUCACUGAAACUGAAAAUUCACACAGCAGCCGUGGGAGUCAGAGUAGCAAAGGCUUUGAGAUCACAUAGACCUGGGACACGUGCUUGCUUUGUGAUUACGGGUGCGGGGACUGCUUGCCAACCCAUGGCAACUCACCUGUAGCGCAUGGAGAUUUGGGGGUAAACCCAGUGAUGCUGAGUAUGUGGGCUGCCCAAGCUGGGUGGCAACCAACCCCAGCAUUGAAUGUGCUGAGAGCUGGACCGGUGGAUGUCCCCACUGCCCUGAGGCAGGUCCAGGAGAAGGCUCCUACCUGCUGUGCAGAGGGCAAGCUCAUGGCUGUCAGAGGCUCCUAACUGCACCCACCCCCGAUCAGCCAAAGCCAAUUACUCCACGUCCAAGACACAGGCGUGUUAAAAUGUAAACGGCCAUUCAUCAUCUGGCAGCGUGACCGUUUGCCCCUAUCAGGCCCCAGUCCGGCCUCACCACGCCUCCAUGCUCUCCUCAGCGUCAAAGAAACAGCCUUGUCCUGCCAGGGCCUUCGCCAGGCCCGGCCUGGGAAGUCAGGGCUCUCUGACCCAAUGGAGCGAAUCGUUGCGAGCAUUUAUUUAAUAGCAUUAUCUUGAUGAUGAA